CAAUGGAUUUUGAGAACACCGUGUUUGCAUCCAGCCCACCAGCACGGACUUCCAAAGGACAGGCCAUGAAUCAAAGUCAUGGCUCUUCUUCAUUCCAGGAAUUGAUUGGGAUGAAGACAACUCUUUCAGAUGAGGGCAGUUGAGUCUGGGGCUCGGCAGCCCCAGGUGAUGGAGAGAAAGAAGCCAGAGUUUUCUGGACAGACGUGGACAUAUAUGUGAAGGCAGAGGUGUGAGCACAGAAUGACAUGAACAAAUACAUAGAGACAGCAAACAGACGGAGAUCUCCACGUGUGCACAGACAUGUAAACAGGCAGGUGAAGACUCAGAGGUUUGGAGCUUUUCAGGUGCAUUUCAUGUUGGAUUUGCUGACCCAGGAGUCUGACAAGAACCCUGGUUUUCUUCUUCUGUACAAUUAAAGAAAAAAAAAAGUUAUCAACAAUAAAAUAUCCUCUCUAUUCA